rnacentral:rRNA from 1 species
GACGAACGCUGGCGGCGUGCUUAACACAUGCAAGUCGAACGGAAAGGCCCUGCUUUUGUGGGGUGCUCGAGUGGCGAACGGGUGAGUAACACGUGAGUACCCUGUCCCUGACUUUGGGGUAACUUCAGGCAACUGGGGCUAAUACCGGCUAGGAGCUCCUGCUGCAUGGUGGGGGCUGGAAAGUUUCGGCGGUUGGGGAUUGACUCGCCGCUUAUCAGCUUGUUGCGUGGGUAGUGUCUUACCAAGGCUUUGACGGGUAGCCGAGCUGAGCGGGUCACCGGCCACAUUGGGACUGAGAUGCGGCACAGACUCGAACGGGACGCAAGGGUGGGGAAUAGUACACAGGAGGCGGAGCGAUGGCCCGACCACGCCGCGCGGGGGAUGACGGGCAGGGGGUUGGAUACCAAAGUCGCCUGUGACGAAACGUGAAUGACGGUAAUGGGUGAAGAAGCACCGGCUAACUACGUG